GACGAACGCUGGCGGCGUGCUUAACACGUGCAAGUCGAACGGGUCUGCCCUGUUUUUUGCGGGGUGGGUCAGUGGCGAACGGGUGAGUAACACGUGAGUAACCUGCCCCUCACUUCUGGAUAACCGCUUGAAAGGGUGGCUAAUACGGGGUGUUCUGGCUGUGCCGCAUGGUGUGGCUGGGAAAGAUUCACUUUUGUGGUGUUUUGGUGGGGGAUGGGCUCGCGGCCUAUCAGCUUGUUGGUGGGGUGAUGGCCUGCCAAGGCUUUGACGGGUAGCCGGCCUGAGAGGGUGGGCGGGCACACUGGGACUGAGAUACGGCCCAGACUCCUGCGGGAGGCAGCAGUGGGGGGUAUUGCACAAUGGGCGGAAGCCUGAUGCAGCGACGUCGCGUGAGGGAUGGAGGCCUUCGGGUUGUGAACCUCUUUCGCCGGUGAAGAAGGUCCUGCUCUUUGUGGUGGGGUUGACGGUAGCCGGGUUAUGAAGCGCCGGCUAACUACGUG
rnacentral:rRNA from 1 species